UCUCAAAAUGAGGCUAGUAAUGUCAGAAAAAGUACCAAUCGUUUUCUCGUGGUGUUUGUUUGUUUAAUGAAUGAACCCAUUUAUUCGACAUAAUCUUUUUCGAAUGUGCCUAGUUUAUCGGUACGGAAGUUGACCUAAUAGAAAAACUGACCUUCAUAUUGUAUUACAUGAAUACGAAUUUGUCCUGAUAUGUCUGAAUAGUUUAUUUAAGCGGUGAUCUUCGUCCUGGAAGCUUCAUAAGUAAAAUAACCGUCAAAAUGUUCAAACUCACUGCAAUAGUUCUUGUGUGUCUGUCUUAUCAAUUUGUGAACGCAAGAUGGGUGUCAGACGAAAAACAGAACCACUACGAGACAAGUGAUGGAAACAGUAAAAGUGUGGAAAUCCUUGUGGAACCUCUUACCGCUGACGCAGAAAGGAGAUUGGACCAACAGUUCUUCAACCAAAAACUACUCGACAGAAUCAACAAAAACCUGGAAGCAGCCAAAACAACCCAAAUACCUCCUGAGAAAAAAAGACCUGUUAAAAGGCACUGUGUGGGUACUCUAUCAAUGCUCAUAUGUGCGUGAACAAAUAUCUAGUCACCUUUUCUUAUUUUUUAAGGUAAAAAUCAUUUAUCCUUAUCAUUGAAAAAAUAGGAUAAUAUUUCAAUUUAAAAUACGGAGGUGUUAUUUAUUGAAUAUUAUUUCUUAGAAAUUCAUGUUAUUUUUCGACCUUGCAUCGAAAUGUAACCUUUACCUAUAUGUAUGCAGUAUUUUAUGGUGUAACAUAUUGUUUACAAACUAUUUUUCCUGUUUCUGCGAAGAUCUUGAGCAGAAUUGCUCCUUAUUUUGUGGCUGUGUAUUAAUGAAUUGAAUUUUAAAUUUCUGAACUGAUUUCCAUCAAAAUAAAUACAUCAACCUUAAGGACAUGUAUGUACGUGCUUCCUUAUUUUAUUGGUUUGUCUAUUAUCAUUCAUCAAAACAAAUGUUACAAUGUAUUUUUUCUCUAAAUAUCAUAGUUCAUCAUUGAAUUUUUUACAUGUACAUCGAUAGGAUAGUAAUAAUUCAAAAAUGAAUUUCAUUUUAAUCAUUAUAUUCUAGUUUUAUACAAAAAAAAGAAAGAAAAAUUUUGUAUUUCCAUAAAAUUCAAUUUGUGAAUCAAUAUAGAUUCUGCCAAUUUUGUCGAUUCAAUUAUUAUGUUUGUAGAAUCAAAAUUUGAAUGGUAUUUCUCCAAAUUUAUAAAAUACUACUUAUGUUACUACUUUUCAACUCAAAGUAGAAUUGUAUUUUGUAGAAUUUAUAUUUUCACUCUUCUCAUGAAGAUAUUAAGUUAGUUGAAAUCUUUGGACAUAAAAAUUUCUUUCAAGGAAAGUAUUAAUUUUCCACUGUACCUAAUUAAUAGUGUGUUGUGUUUCGAAUAUAUUUCUACUUUUUAGUGAAUUAUGUUAAUGCUCUCUAGGUACUAUAAGGUUCAUUGUUCAUUGAAUUCAAUUUCAAAUAUUGUUAGGAAUCCAAUGAUAACAAGGAUUGUUUUCUUUGAUAUUUUAUGUAUAUCUACCACUUGGACUAAUGAAGCAUGCUCGAGAAAAUUAUUGAAUUCAAGAAUUUAUUACAACAUGAUGAAAUGUAAUUGAAAGUUGAUUUAAAUAAACGAUGAAAAUAUUGUAAAAUUUACAUAUACCAAAAUAGUUCUUAAAUACAUUGAUUUAUAUAUCGA